rnacentral:rRNA from 1 species
AGAGUUUGAUCCUGGCUCAGCCUGAACGCUGGCGGCGUGGCUAAGACAUGCAAGUCGCACGGACGUAGCAAUACGUCAGUGGCGGACGGGUGAGUAAUGUAUCGCUAAUGUACCCUCGAGUCGGGGAUAGCUGUCCGAAAGGACAGGUAAUACCCGGCAAGACCACAAUCGGGCCUCCGAUGGUGCUCAAAGCCGUAAGGCGCUCGUGGAGCAGGCGAUAUCGUAUCAGGUAGUUGGUGAGGUAACGGCUCACCAAGCCGACGACGCGUAGCCGGACUGAGAGGUUGGCCGGCCACAUCGGGACUGAGACACUGCCCGGACUCCUACGGGGGGCUGCAGUAACGAAUCUUCCCCAAUGCACGAAAGUGUGAGGGAGCGACGCCGCGUGGAGGAUGAAGUCCUUCGGGAUGUAAACUCCUGUCAGGGGAUACCAAGUUCUGAGGAUCCCCAGAGGAAGGGGCGGCUAACUCUGUGCCAGCAGCCGCGGUAAGACAGAGGCCCCAAGCGUUAGGCGGAAUCACUGGGCUUAAAGCGUGUGUAGGCGGGUCGUUAAGUACCUUGUGAAAUCCCACGGCUCAACCGUGGAACGGCUGGGUAUACUGGCGACCUUGGGCCACCCAGGGGCAACUGGAACAAGCGGUGGAGCGGUGAAAUGCGUAGAUAUCGCUUGGAACGCCGAAGGUGAAGACAGGUUGCUGGGGGUGUGCCGACGCUGAGACACGAAAGCCAGGGGAGCAAACGGGAUUAGAUACCCUGGUAGUCC